rnacentral:tRNA from 1 species
GCCGGUGUAGCUCAGUUGGUAGAGCAGCUGAUUUGUAAUCAGCGGGUCGGGGGUUCGAGUCCCUUCACCGGCUCCA